AACGAACGCUGGCGGCAUGCCUAACACAUGCAAGUCGAACGAGACCUUCGGGUCUAGUGGCGCACGGGUGCGUAACGCGUGGGAACCUGCCCUUAGGUUCGGAAUAACUCCCCGAAAGGGGUGCUAAUACCGGAUAAUGUCUUCGGACCAAAGAUUUAUCGCGUUUGGAUGGGCCCGCGUUGGAUUAGCUAGUUGGUAGGGUAAAAGCAUACCAAGGCGAGAUUCCAUAGCUGGUUUGAGAGGAUGAUCAGCAACACUGGGACUGAGACACGGCACAGACUCCUACGCGAGGCAGGAGUGGGGAAUAUUGGAAAGUGGGGGAAAGGAUGAUCGAGCAAGGCCGCGUGAGUGAUGAAGGACUGAGGGUUGUAAAGCUCUUUUACCCGGGAUGAUAAUGACAGUACCGGGAGAAUAAGCUACGGCUAACUCCGUG
rnacentral:rRNA from 1 species